rnacentral:tRNA from 1 species
UCCUGGUGGCUCAGACAGUAAAGAAUCUGCCUGCAAAGCAGAAGACCUGAGUUCGAUCCUUGGAUUGGGAG